AUUGAACGCUGGCGGCGUGCCUAACACAUGCAAGUCGAGCGGUAACAGGUGUAGCAAUACAUGCUGACGAGCGGCGAACGGGUGAGUAAUGCUUUGGAAUCUUCCCAGUAGUGGGGAAUAACCAGUCGAAAGAUUGGCUAAUACCGCAUACGUCUGUAAAGGGAAAGCGGGGGCUCGUAAGACCUCGCGCUAUUGGAUGAGCCAAAGUCGGAUUAGCUAGUUGGNGGGGUAAUGGCCUACCAAGGCGACAAUCCGUAGCUGGUCUGAGAGGACGACCAGCCACACCGGAACUGAGACACGGUCCGGACUCCUACGGGAGGCAGCAGUGGGGAAUAUUGGACAAUGGGGGAAACCCUGAUCCAGCGACGCCGCGUGUGUGAAGAAGGCCU
rnacentral:rRNA from 1 species